rnacentral:misc_RNA from 1 species
GAUGAAGAACGCAGCGAAAUGCGAUACGUAGUGUGAAUUGCAGAAUUCAGUGAAUCAUCUAAUCUUUGAACGCACAUUGCACCUCUCGGUAUUCCGGGAGGUAUGCCUGUUCGAGCGUCAUUUGUACCCUCAAGCUCUGCUUGGUGUUGGGUGUUUGUUCCGCCUCUGUGUGUGAACUCGCCUCAAAACAAUUGGCAGCCGGCGUACUUGUUUCGGAGCGCAGCACAUUUUGCGAUCCAGAUCAACGUACAGCGGCAUCCAAGAAGCCUUAUUUAACGCUCUUGACCUCGGAUCAGGUAGGGAUACCCGCUGAACUUAAGCAUAUCAAUAAGCGGAGGA